GGUAUAUAUAAUUGCAAUGACAAUGAUUGGAGGUAUAUUUUAGCAUUGAAGUUCUAAUUCAGACAAAUCCCUUUGAAAUGUACACCCCCAUAUAUAUAAAUAUAAAUUAAGUGCCUCUCUUCAAAAAUCUGCCCCGUUUUGCCCUCUUGUUGUUCUGGCGUCCCUGAAACUUGACCAAUAUUACAGUAACGUGGUUUCCUUAAGUUAAGAAUGGGUAACACUACAAACAGUAUACCUUGCUAAAUUGGAUUCCUAUAGUCUACCUGGUUAAUAUAGUCUUACAUGUAUCAUUU